GUGACGAAGCGACGCCGCGUGCGGGAAGAAGGCCUUCGGGUUGUAAACCGCUGUCGGGAGUUAAGAAAAUGCAAGGGUGCUAAUAGUAUCUUUGCUUGACUAAGGCUCCGGAGGAAGCCACGGCUAACUCUGUGCCAGCAGCCGCGGUAAUACAGAGGCGGCAAGCGUUGUUCGGAAUUAUUGGGCGUAAAGAGCACGUAGGCGGCUAUGUAAGUCGGUUGUGAAAGCCUUCCGCUCAACGGGAGAACAGCAUCCGAUACUGCAUGGCUUGAGUGCGGGAGGGGAGAGUGGAACUUCUGGUGGAGCGGUGAAAUGCGUAGAUAUCAGAAGGAACGCCGGCGGCGAAAGCGGCUCUCUGGCCCAUAACUGACGCUGAGUGUGCGAAAGCUAGGGGAGCAAACGGGAUUAGAUACCCCGGUAGUCCUAGCCGUAAACGAU
rnacentral:rRNA from 1 species